AUUGAACGCUGGCGGCAUGCCUUACACAUGCAGGUCGAACGGCAGCACGGGGCAACCUGGUGGCGAGUGGCGAACGGGUGAGUAAUGCAUCGGAACGUACCUUUCAGUGGGGGAUAACGUAGCGAAAGUUACGCUAAUACCGCAUAUUCUGUGAGCAGGAAAGCAGGGGAUCGCAAGACCUUGCGCUGAUUGAGCGGCCGAUGUCAGAUUAGCUAGUUGGUGAGGUAAAGGCUCACCAAGGCGACGAUCUGUAGCGGGUCUGAGAGGAUGAUCCGCCACACUGGAACUGAGACACGGUCCAGACUCCUACGGGAGGCAGCAGUGGGGAAUUUUGGACAAUGGGGGCAACCCUGAUCCAGCCAUGCCGCGUGAGUGAAGAAGGCCUUCGGGUUGUAAAGCUCUUUCGGCCGGGAAGAAAUCGCACGAGCUAAUACCCUGUGUGGAUGACGGUACCGGAAUAAGAAGCACCGGCUAACUACGUGCCAGCAGCCGCCGUAAAAC
rnacentral:rRNA from 1 species